UUGUGAAAAGCAGCAGAAGCAAAGAAGGAUGAGAGUGUGCUUGUACACAUAAGAGAUAAGGACUGUGUAGCUCUUGAGGUCUCCUAUCACAGAACCUGCUAUGCAUCAUACACACAAUUCUUGACAAGAUCUAAAUCAGAAAGGGCUGGCUACUUGAAGGACAAAUUGAGAAAGGACUUUCCCCAACUUCAAUUUCACCGCCCAUUCAGGAAAAACCUAAGUAGAAUUGUUUUCACAGAAUGCCUCUCUGUCAUGGAUGAUAUGGUCCCAGAGUCUGAAACAGAAAACAGUAGUAGUGUAGAGACAGAUUCAACUGAGCAAGCUGAAGAUGAUGAAGGACUGAGGAUGACAUCAAGCACUGUUACUGAUGUUAACGAUGUUAAUGGUGCCUCUGAUGAUGACUCAGAAACAGAGUAGACCCAAUUUCAUACCCAUCAUGUUAAUGAAUAUUGCCAUAUUGUCUUUUUUCAUAAUAUAAAUAUGUUACCUGUGUCCUGAAAUUGAAAUGUGAUGAUUAAAAUCUAAUGAUAUGUA